AGCCAGACUCCUACGGGAGGCAGCAGUGGGGAAUAUUGGACAAUGGGGGAACCCUGAUGCAGCGACGCCGCGUGGGUGAAGGAGCAUUUCGGUAUGUAAAGCCCUAUCGGCAGGGAAGAAGCAAGACGGUACCUGACUAAGAAGCCCCGGCUAACUACGUGCCAGCAGCCGCGGUAAUACGUAGGGGGCGAGCGUUAUCCGGAUUCACUGGGUGUAAAGGGAGCGUAGACGGCCAAGCAAGCCAGGGGUGAAAGCCCGGGGCCCAACCCCGGGACUGCCCUUGGAACUGCUUGGCUGGAGUGCGGGAGGGGCAGGCGGAAUUCCUGGUGUAGCGGUGAAAUGCGUAGAUAUCAGGAGGAACACCGGCGGCGAAGGCGGCCUGCUGGACCGCUACUGACGUUGAGGCUCGAAAGCGUGGGGAGCGAACAGGAUUAGAUACCCCAGUA
rnacentral:rRNA from 1 species